rnacentral:rRNA from 1 species
AGAGUUGAUCCUGGCUCAGAAUCAACGCUGGCGGCGUGCCUCAGACAUGCAAGUCGAACGAUUAAACUUUCCUUCGGGAAAGAUAUAAAGUGGCGCACGGGUGAGUAACACGUAGGUAAUGUACCUUUGGGUGGGGAAUAACUUAGGGAAACUUAAGCUAAUACCGCAUAAUGCAGCGGCUCCUUCGGGAGACAGUUGUUAAAGAUUUAUCGCCUAAAGAGCAGCCUGCGGCAGAUUAGCUAGUUGGUAAGGUAACGGCUUACCAAGGCUACGAUCUGUAUCCGACCUGAGAGGGUGGUCGGACACACUGACACUGAAUAACGGGUCAGACUCCUACGGGAGGCAGCAGUCGGGAAUUUUGGGCAAUGGGCGAAAGCCUGGCCCAGCAACGCCGCGUGAAGGAUGAAGUCUCUCGGGAUGUAAACUUCGUAAGAAUAGGAAGAAUAAAUGACGGUACUAUUUGUAAGGUCCGGCUAACUACGUGCCAGCAGCCGCGGUAAUACGUAGGGACCAAGCGUUGUUCGGAUUUACUGGGCGUAAAGGGCGCGUAGGCGGCAAUUCAAGUCAGUUGUGAAAUCUCCGAGCUUAGCUCGGAACGGUCAACUGAUACUGCUUUGCUAGAGUACAGAAGGGGCAAUCGGAAUUCUUGGUGUAGCGGUGAAAUGCGUAGAUAUCAAGAGGAACACCUGAGGUGAAGACGGGUUGCUGGGCUGAUACUGACGCUGAGGCGCGAAAGCUAGGGUAGCAAACGGGAUUAGAUACCCCGGUAGUCCUAGCCCUAAACGAUGAAUACUUGGUGUCUGGAGUUUUAUUCUCCGGGUGCCGUCGCUAACGUUUUUAGUAUUCCGCCUGGGGAGUACGCACGCAAGUGUGAAACUCAAAGGAAUUGACGG